GAGUUAGUUUAAUAUAAAAUAAUAAAUUGUGGGUUUAUAGAUAAAUUCAAUUUACUUUACUAUG
rnacentral:tRNA from 1 species